ACGCUGGCGGCGUGCUUAACACAUGCAAGUCGAACGAAAAGAGGGAAAGAGCUUGCUCUUUCCGGAAUUGAGUGGCAAACGGGUGAGUAACACGUAAACAACCUGCCUUCAGGAUGGGGACAACAGACGGAAACGACUGCUAAUACCGAAUAAGUUCCAAGAGCCGCAUGGCCCAUGGAAGAAAAGGUGGCCUCUACCUGUAAGCUAUCGCCUGAAGAGGGGUUUGCGUCUGAUUAGCUGGUUGGAGGGGUAACGGCCCACCAAGGCGACGAUCAGUAGCCGGUCUGAGAGGAUGAACGGCCACACUGGAACUGAGACACGGUCCAGACUCCUACGGGAGGCAGCAGUGGGGAAUCUUCCGCAAUGGGCGAAAGCCUGACGGAGCAACGCCGCGUGAGUGAUGACGGCCUUCGGGUUGUAAAACUCUGUGAUCCGGGACGAAAAGGCAGAGUGCGAAGAACAAACUGCAUUGACGGUACCGGAAAAGCAAGCCACGGCUAACUACGUGCCAGCAGCCGCGGUAAUACGUAGGUGGCAAGCGUUGUCCGGAAUUAUUGGGCGUAAAGCGCGCGCAGGCGGCUUCCCAAGUCCCUCUUAAAAGUGCGGGGCUUAACCCCGUGAUGGGAAGGAAACUGGGAAGCUGGAGUAUCGGAGAGGAAAGUGGAAUUCCUAGUGUAGCGGUGAAAUGCGUAGAGAUUAGGAAGAACACCGGUGGCGAAGGCGACUUUCUGGACGAAAACUGACGCUGAGGCGCGAAAGCGUGGGGAGCAAACAGGAUUAGAUACCCUGGUAGUCCACGCCGUAAACGAUGGAUACUAGGUGUAGGAGGUAUCGACCCCUCCUGUGCCGGAGUUAACGCAAUAAGUAUCCCGCCUGGGAAGUACGAUCGCAAGAUUAAAACUCAAAGGAA
rnacentral:rRNA from 1 species